CCUACGGGGGCAGCCGUGGGGAAUAUUGCACCAUGGGCGCAAGCCUGCUGCCGCCAUGCCGCGUGUGUGAAGAAGGCCUUCGGGUUGUAAAGCACUUUCAGCGGGGAGGAAGGCGUUAAGGUUAAUAACCUUGGCGAUUGACGUUACCCGCAGAAGAAGCACCGGCUAACUCCGUGCCAGCAGCCGCGGUAAUACGGAGGGUGCAAGCGUUAAUCGGAAUUACUGGGCGUAAAGCGCACGCAGGCGGUCUGUCAAGUCGGAUGUGAAAUCCCCGGGCUCAACCUGGGAACUGCAUUCGAAACUGGCAGGCUAGAGUCUUGUAGAGGGGGGUAGAAUUCCAGGUGUAGCGGUGAAAUGCGUAGAGAUCUGGAGGAAUACCGGUGGCGAAGGCGGCCCCCUGGACAAAGACUGACGCUCAGGUGCGAAAGCGUGGGGAGCAAACAGGAUUAGAUACCCGUGUAGUC
rnacentral:rRNA from 1 species